rnacentral:rRNA from 1 species
CAGCAUGGUCUUAGCUUGCUAAGGCCGAUGGCGACCGGCGCACAGGUGAGUAACGCGUAUCCAACCUGCCUUACACUCUUGGACAGCCUUCUGAAAGGGAGAUUAAUACAAGAUGUUAUCAUGAGUAAGCAUUUUCGCAUGAUUAAAGGUUUACCGGUGUAAGAUGGGGAUGCGUUCCAUUAGAUAGUAGGCGGGGUAACGGCCCACCUAGUCUUCGAUGGAUAGGGGUUCUGAGAGGAAGGUCCCCCACAUUGGAACUGAGACACGGUCCAAACUCCUACGGGAGGCAGCAGUGAGGAAUAUUGGUCAAUGGACGAGAGUCUGAACCAGCCAAGUAGCGUGAAGGAUGAAGGUUCUAUGGAUUGUAAACUUCUUUUAUACGGGAAUAAACGGAUCCACGUGUGGAUUUUUGCAUGUACCGUAUGAAUAAGGAUCGGCUAACUCCGUGCCAGCAGCCGCGGUAAUACGGAGGAUCCGAGCGUUAUCCGGAUUUAUUGGGUUUAAAGGGAGCGUAGAUGGGUUGUUAAGUCAGUUGUGAAAGUUUGCGGCUCAACCGUAAAAUUGCAAUUGAUACUGGCAGUCUUGAGUACAGUUGAGGUAGGCGGAAUUCGUGGUGUAGCGGUGAAAUGCUUAGAUAUCACGAAGAACUCCGAUUGCGAAGGCAGCUUACUAACCU